UGACUUGGGCAGUACAUAUACUAAAAUUGGAACGAUACAGAGAAGAUUAGCAUGGCCCCUGCGCAAGUCUGCCACUUCAAGAACUCGCUAUUGUAAAUUUUUUU